GCCGCCUCCCGGCGGGCUUUGCGCGCGGUGCCACCCCUGUCGCCCUCAGGGCCGGGCGGGGAAGAUGGCGGCGGGGCCGGGGAAGCACAAGCUCCUGAGCGCCGGCCCCACCGAGCCCUGGUCCAUCCGCGAGAAGCUCUGCCUGGCAUCCUCCGUCAUGCGCAGCGGCGACCAGAACUGGGUCUCAGUCAGCAGAGCCAUCAAACCUUUUGCAGAGCCAGGACGCCCACCUGACUGGUUUUCCCAAAAGCACUGUGCAUCUCAGUACUCAGAGCUCUUGGAGACCACGGAGACCCCUAAAAGGAAACGUGGUGAGAAGGGAGAAGUUGUGGAAACUGUGGAAGAUGUUAUUGUGCGGAAACUGACUGCAGAGCGGGUUGAGGAGUUGAAGAAAAUUAUUAAAGAAACACAGGAAAAAUACAGACAACUCAAGAAGGAUGCAGAGCUGAUCCAGGCCGGACACAUGGAUAACAGACUGGAGGAGCUGUGCAAUGAGAUCAUGAUAAAGAAAAAAAUGGAAGAAGAGGAGGCAGAAGUCAAGAGGAAGGCUACAGAUGCUGCUUAUCAGGCUCGCCAGGCCAUUAAGAACCCACCUCGAAGGCUCACGGGGGUGAUGGUUCGUUCUCCUGCUGGCUCCACCUCCCCGGGCGGGGAUUAUUCCCUCGGAGAUCUGUCCCAGCCCGCUGGGGAUGAGGCCAGUCCAGGGGUCGGUGAAAAUGAAAUGGCAGUGGCUUCUGGUCACAUGAACAGCUCUGGAGUGCUGCUGGAGGUAGGAAGUGUCCUUCCAGUGCUGCACAGUGGGGAAAUGCAGUCGGCACCUGGUGCUGUCCCUGCAUCUCCGGCUGCUUCAGGUGCUCCUACGCUUUCCCGGCUUUUAGAAGCUGGUCCUGCACAGUUCACCUCACCUCUUGCUUCCUUCUCCGCUGUUGCCAGCGAGCCUCCAGCUAAGCUCCUGCCACCCCCCGUAGAGCCUGUGUCCCAGGCCACUAUUGUCAUGAUGCCCACGCUGUCAGCACCAGCCGUUGUGCCACCAGCUGCAGCUCCAGAAAGCAUAGCCACAGUGAGCCAGCCAGAAGCCUGUGUUUCCAUGGAGGCAGUGUCUGAUUCCCAUACUGUAACAGUGUCCAUGGACAGCAGUGAAAUAUCAAUGAUCAUUGAUUCCAUCAAGAAAGACUGCCUGGGUUCUGGGGCUGGCAACACUGCAGGAUCUUCCAAAGAUCACUGCAUGGAUGGGAAAGAAGAUCUGGAUCUGGCUGAAAAAAUGGAUAUUGCAGUGUCCUAUACGGGGGAAGAGCUGGACUUCGAUACGGUUGGAAAUAUUAUAGCCAUCAUUGAGGACAAGGUAGAUGACCACCCUGAAGUCCUGGAUGCAGCAGUUGUUGAAGCUGCUCUGUCUUCUUUCUGCGAAGAUACCGAUGACCCUCAGACUCUUCCUGGCCCGUGGGAACAUUCAAUUCGUCAGGAGCAUGAGAAACAAGCCCAGAUGCCACAAGUGUCUGUGACUGUGAAGCAGGAGAGAUUGGAGUGUGAGGAACCAGAGGCAAAGGGAAUUCGAGACCUAAUGGGUAUCAAUGAGCUGGGGCCAGAAAUAAAGACUGAACUUGCAGAGCAGGACCAGAGUCAGCUGGGCCCUGAAGAAACCAUACCAGCAACUGCAAGAGUGACAGAAACACCAGAGCUUAGAAACCAAGAGAUAGAGGAAGAUCAAAGAGCAGCUGUAACAUCAGGAGAGACUUCUGAAAUCAAGAUAGAGUCAUCCCAGGGAGAAGACGCAGUGCUCAAUCCAGUGAAGACAGAGACCCCACCUGAUGAUGAUUCAUCCCCUCCACAAGUCCCAAAUGUGAGUGAAGACUCCUCACAGGCUGAUGUUCAGCACAAAUUUGAGCUGUCAGAGUCAAUGAAGGAGGAGGCCCAAGCCCUGUUUAGGAGUCAGAUGAAGGAUGGGCAGGGUGAGGAGGAUGAUGAGGAUGGUGCCAGUGAGGCUGCCAGUUUGGAGGAACCCAAAGAAGAAGACCAGGGUGAGGGGUAUCUCUCAGAGAUGGAUAACGAGCCCCCCGUGAGCGAGAGCGAUGACGGCUUCAGCGUCCACAACGCGCCCUUGCAGUCCCACACGCUCGCCGACUCCAUCCCCAGCAGCCCGGCCUCCUCGCAGUUCUCAGUGUGCAGUGAGGACCAGGAAGCAAUACAGGCUCAGAAGAUCUGGAAGAAAGCCAUCAUGCUGGUUUGGAGAGCAGCAGCUAAUCACAGGUAUGCCAAUGUCUUCUUACAGCCUGUAACUGAUGACAUAGCACCAGGCUACCACAGCAUCGUGCAGAGGCCAAUGGAUUUAUCUACCAUCAAAAAGAACAUUGAGAACGGGCUGAUCCGAACCACAGCUGAGUUCCAGCGGGAUAUUAUGCUGAUGUUUCAGAAUGCAGUGAUGUACAACAGCUCUGACCAUGAUGUGUACCACAUGGCUGUGGAGAUGCAGAGAGAUGUCCUGGAGCAGAUCCAGCAAUUUCUGGCCACACAACUGAUGAUGCAAACAUCAGAGUCAGGGAUCAGUGCAAAGAGCCUGCGGGGGCGAGACUCCACUCGCAAGCAGGAUGCUUCGGAGAAGGACAGUGUCCCAAUGGGCUCUCCUGCCUUCCUUCUCUCUCUCUUUCUGCCCCUUCCACACGUCCGAGGCAGUACAAAAGGUCUUGGGAGAAUGAGGAGUCAGCUGUGUGUCCUUUAUCCGUUCCUGGUUCAGAAAGUAAAUAAGACUCUGCAGAAAUAUCUUGCUCUGUGCCUGUGGUCAUCUGGAAGUGUUUGGAAAAUUAUUCCCUCUGGGAAACCCCUAGUCUCUGAGUCACUGUGAGGAAAGAGAGGAGGAAGAUGUAUCUCACAUGUAUCUAAAGACAGAGGAGUACUCCGGGAGAGGCAGCAGAUCAGCCAGAGAGGGCAGCGGAUCAGAGGAAGCUCUCAGCUCACCUGCUUGUGGAAAAGAGCUGUGUGGAGGAUCUAGGGAGCCUAGUGCCAGGGUCACUCAGCUGGAGGAGCACUUCCCAUAGGGAUCAGCAGCUAAUCAGGACGGAGGCACCAGAGGGCGGCGCUGCGCCAUCGAGGCCGACAUGAAGAUGAAGAAAUGAUGCUGAAGACACAAAAUCCCGGCGGAAUCCCAGGCAUUCGGAGCUGGAGUACAAGCAGACAGCUCUUAACAGCUGUUGGAGGAGGAGGAAAAGCUGCAGGUCCAUUUCUGGGACCUGGUUCACCACCUUUGCUUGCCCUUCUGGACGGCAGUGUCUUGUCAGAAUGUGUAACCCAAAGAAACUUCCCCAGAGGGGAAGACCGGCCCCCCUGCCUGUUUUAGGGCAGUUGUCUUGGGCUUCAUCAGUGUUCUGGUGUUAGCUAGCAACUGGUGGCUCGUAUGUACUGUAAUGUGAAGUGUACAGAUUUUUACUAGUGAUGUGUAAAUGUGAUGUAUAUUAAAAUCUGGG